rnacentral:rRNA from 1 species
CAUGAGGUUCGGGAUAGCUCUACGAAAGUAGGAUUAAUACCGGAUGUGCUCAUUGAGUAAAGAUUAUCGCCUUAUGAUGGGCCUGCGUUAGAUUAGCUUGUUGGUAGGGUAACGGCCUACCAAGGCAACGAUCUAUAGCCGGGUUGAGAGACCGACCGGCCACAUUGGGACUGAGACACGGCCCAGACUCCUACGGGAGGCAGCAGCUAAGAAUCUUCCGCAAUGGACGCAAGUCUGACGGAGCGACGCCGCGUGAAUGAUGAAGGCCUUACAGGUUGUAAAAUUCUUUUAUAGAGGACGAAUGUAUAGUGUAGACUAUUCUGACGGUACUCUAUGAAUAAGGUCCGGCUAACUACGUGCCAGCAGCCGCGGUAAUACGUAGGGACCGAGCGUUGUUCGGAAUUAUUGGGCGUAAAGGGUACGUAGGCGGUCUAAUAAGUCAAAUGUGAAAACCUCGGGCUCAACCUGAGGCCUGCGUCUGAUACUGUUAGGCUAGAGUUACGGAGAGGAAGGCGGAAUUCCUGGUGUAGGGGUGAAAUCUAUAGAUAUCAGGAAGAACAUCUGUUGCGAAGGCGGCCUUCUGGACGUAAACUGACGCUGAUGUACGAAAGUUAGGGUAGCAAACAGGAUUAGAGACCCUGGUAGUCCUAACCGUAAACGUUGUAUACUAGGUGGUGGCGUUUUGAUCGCGUCACUGCCGGAGCUAACGCAUUAAGUAUACCGCCUGGGGAGUAUGCCGGCAACGGUGAAACUCAAAGGAAUUGACGGGGGCCCGCACAAGCAGUGGAGCAUGUUGUUUAAUUCGAUGAUACGCGAGGAACCUUACCAGGUCUUGACAUAUACCUGAAUGAUGCAGAAAUGUAUCAGCCUUCGGGCAGGUAUACAGGUGCUGCAUGGUUGUCGUCAGCUCGUGCCGUGAGUUCUUGGGUUAAGUCCCGCAACGAGCGCAACCCUUAUUCUUUGUUGCUAACAGUUCGUGCCUGAGCACUCUAACGGAGACUGCCCGGUGACAAACUCGGAGGAAGUUGGGGAUGACGUCAAAUCAUCACGGCCCUUAUGACCUGGGCUACAAACGUGCUACAAUGGGCGGCACAGAGAGUUUGCGAUACCGCAAGCGUGAGCUAAUCUCAAAAAACCGUCCUCAGUUCGGAUUGGAGUCUGAAACUCGACUUCCAUGAAGCUGGAAUUGCUAGUAAUCGCAUAUCAGCCAUGAUGCGGUGAAUACGUUCCCGGGCCUGUACACACCGCCCGUCACAUCACCCGUAUUGAUUAUACCCGACGUGAUCGAGCUAACC